rnacentral:rRNA from 1 species
AAUAUUGGACAAUGGGCGAAAGCCUGAUCCAGCAAUGCCGCGUGAGUGAAGAAGGUCUUCGGAUUGUAAAGCUCUUUCACGGGUGAAGAUAAUGACGGUAACCCGAGAAGAAGCCCCGGCUAACUUCGUGCCAGCAGCCGCGGUAAUACGAAGGGGGCUAGCGUUGUUCGGAAUUACUGGGCGUAAAAGGCGCGUAGGCGGUCUAUCAAGUUAGGUGUGAAAGCCCUGGGCUCAACCCAGGAACUGCAUUUAAGACUGGCAGGCUAGAGAUCUAGAGGGGAUAGUGGAAUUCCAAGUGUAGAGGUGAAAUUCGUAGAUAUUUGGAGGAACACCAGUGGCGAAGGCGACUAUCUGGCUAGAAUCCGACGCUGAGGCGCGAUAGCGUGGGGAGCAAACAGG